UCCUGCAUAAGCUGCAAGGAUAAAUCGUCAAGCUAAUGACGUUAAACAGGCGCUUCAUAUUAGACAACUCGUGUUCAAGGUAUUUCCGCUGCACCCAAUAGUAGAAUCCAUCUUUAACUGGAACAUAAGUCAGGGACGUUUCCCGCCUAACCUGUGAGUUUUCUUUUUUCUUUUUCCUCUUGUUCAGAUUUUUCAAUGGGGAUAACGUUAAUUUCUAAGCUU